CUGCUGCAUUGGGAUGCUUAGUCUGCAGGGCGAAGAGAGAGGAGGGGGCGAUGGCGUUGGAGGGGUGUGCGGUGGGGAGGGAAGGAGGGGGGUGGAGGGAGUGAGGGGAGAGCUGGGAGCAAGGGUCUCCGUUCACCUUGUGUCGCGUCAAAAACAGAUGGCUUGUUCCUGUAGCAGGAGAGAGGGGAUCUCCUAUCGCUCUGUCCCAAUCCCAGAGGAGGGUAGCAUGGAAAACCGAGACAGGUAAAGGGGAACCAAGACUUUCCCGGCUGGACAGAAGCAGCCCUCUCUGAAUGGUCGUUAGCCGGCAGCCGAGACACCCUGCUGGGAUCGACAACGCGGCGCUGGCUGGGGUGCCCUGCCUGCCACCCUGAGAGGGGGCCCCGUG
rnacentral:lncRNA from 1 species